GCCGCCACCACUUCCCCCAUCCUCUUGGACGCCUCGUCUCUUCCACCUCCGCCUCCAUCACCUCCUCCUCCCCUGCCUCCGCACCCGACCACGCGCUGUGGACGAGGAGGCAACAGCUCGGGAGGCAGGCAAGAGGAAAAUGGGAGUGAUCCCCUCCCGAGCCCUGCGCCUCUCCUCUUUCCCACGGCGCCGCCAGCCCCUUUCCCUCCCAUCUUGAGCUGCUGCAGCUCCUCCCUCAACCCGCGGCGCGCCUUCUUCUCCGACCGUUGUUGCCCGCACUGCUACCGCCACGGCCUGCUACUGCUCCUCCUCCUCCAGAUCCUCGCCCCAGCGACGCUUCCUCCCCUCCUCUCAUGCAAGGCGUCUUGGGGUGUGGAGGCGGCGGGGCAGCAGCCAGUCGUUGCCCUGCAGGGGCAGCAACAGGUCGGCUAUCCUGUUGUGGCGGCGACACGUCUAGAGGAACCGGUCGCCCUUCUCCUGGAUGAGCGCCGGAGCCGAAAAGCCGGAACUGACCAUUGAGGAGCUGGGGCAGCCAUGCCACAUAGGAAGGUCGAGGUGGACCAGGAGAAGCUGCACGAGGCUCCAUCGCCUCCUGCUCAAAUUUGGUUUCUCUAUGCCUACAUGGUGUUUGAUGAAAAUCCAAGAAGGACGGGGAGGAUUGAUCUAUCUUUGCCAUUCAGCUUGAAAAAGUAUGUUCCGUCUAGGACAGAGAACCAUGAUUAUCACCACUGUUGGAGGAAAAAGCUAGAGCAAUUAUGUUUCUACUUUCAUGCAUUAUGGUUGUCUAUUCUGGGAAGGAUAGAGUUUACAUAUUUCGUAUGCCUAAAUAGUGAAGGUACUUUAUUUUCAUUUAAUUGUUUCUAUGCUAUUCUCUCAUUGUCUGUGUUGGCUAAGAAAUACUAAUGUAAAUAUUCUUCGAUUUAAAAAGUUGUCAUCUCAUUUUUUUCGUUUUACCGCUUUCUUGUGCUACAGUUUGUUAGGCAAAUUUAGCUUUCAAUUCAACAAUUUGCUUGCUUUCUAAAGCAUGUACUACUGUUGAAGCUCAGUAUAUCAAGUAAUAAUAGUGUGUUAAAAUGAAUAAUACACAUUGAGCUAUAUAUAUUUGCUGCAAUUCGGGGCUGCUGUUGUAAUGUGGUAUAUCUCCUCCCUUGUAAUAUGUAAGGUUGUGACAGUUUAAUAUUCUUCCGCUCAGCAGCACCAAGUACGUGUUUGCAGCCUUUCUGUGCUACAUGUGAGUUCAGUUUACUGCUAACUGCAGUUGUUUAUGGAUUAGUGUAUUUUGUUGUAGGUUAAAUGGAGUUAGUAAGACCAUAUUUGAUGCUGAUCAUAAGAUACUAACGGGCUCCAUGUAAUCCCAAGUGCAUUGAACAACAAUUGUCAUUUUGCAAGAUCUUCUAGAGGGCUAUAUGUCCUAUGCUCCUCUUGACGACAUAUACGAGGACUCGCAACCCUGAGCCUGGAAGACAACCGUUAAGGCGGUGGUCAUGGGGCAACGAUAGUCGAUAGCUACUAUCAGAACAUAAACGUAUGGCCCUCCUUGUUGCCAUGAAGGAUUAUCGUCUAUUGGAUUUGCAGAACCAGUUAAUGACAAGAUGAUGGUAGUAGCAAUGGAGGGUCGUGGUUUCUGAAUGCUGAGACUUCCAGUUUUUAGGAUGGGUUAUUUAGUAUGAACAAAUAUGGCAACAGUCAUUAGUUGUACUGUUUCUUGAGGUGAUGCCACUGCUACAGGAACACUUGCGUGAUAUGAGAUCAGAUACUUCCCGUUUCAGCGUAAAGGUCGACAAGUGCCACCGCCACUCCCUAUGUUGUUUCUAUUCUAAUGUGAUCUACUUGAGGUGAGACCAGGAGACAAACGUCUUUCACUCCUAUGGGGUCCAACUCCUAAUGAUUGAUGAUGUACAAUGUGUCUAAUUCCAGUUCAAACGUCUUUCACUUGAUUGGCUUGACCUCUUAUUUUAUCUUGCAUAUUUUAGAUGAUAUUAGUAGUCACUCGAGCAUCAAUUUUUUCUAUGUUCACUACAAGUCCUUUUCCUUUCAAAAUUAAUCUUCCUUUGUGCCAAAUGUUCUUUCUUACUGAACUAUCACUCCAAUUGUAAGUUGCCUGUUUCGCAUAAAGGUUGGAUAUAUGGUGAUAUGGUAAAGCCGAUUUGGGAAA